GUGGCCUGUGCCUGCCCUGGACUCUAGGAAACCCUCUUGGUGCCACUGGUGGACGUCCACGAGGUCCGGAAGUCCGGAGCGCCUGCGGUCUCCCCUGCCUACCGCAGGGCGGGGGCUUCCUGCCACUGCAAACCACAGCUCAAAUUGAACAUACUUGCCUCUCUUCUAAGCUGGGCCACAAAGAGACUCUGCUGUGCACCCCCACACUCAGAAAAAGAUCUUAGGAACUAUCGCCGCAGGAAAAGCUCCCCUGCGUGUCCAGGGAAGGCAGGAAAGAAGGGAGCUUGCAUGCUAACAAGAGAGGAGCUACCUGACUUAGAAGACAAACAAAACUGUGGACAGGAAAGGCAAGUGUCACUAACACAGGGGCUCCGAGUCCUCCCCAGCCUAUGCAUGCAUCUGGAACCAGGCAGUUUGUUCUUUAGUGUAGGUGUCCAUCGCUCACAUUCCAGGCAGCCGCAGCAUCCACUACAAUUGAGCUUCCAUAUGGCUCUGAAGCUCCAUUUUAAAGGCUCUAUCUCAUUUUCACAAGAUAGCCCCUGGCAGGUUUUCUGGCCUGCAGUUAGCAAAGUAUUCACAGCCCUCGCUCCUGUGGACCACCUCUACUCCUGUCACUAAUGGGGGAAACACCCAGAGAGGAAGACACAGACACAUAAGGAGAACCUGGAGCCAGGUCUGCUGCACUAACUCACAUGGUCUCAGACUCUCUUGGAGGUGGCCAUGGCCUGUGCAGCCUUAUCUUCCAGUCUAGGAACAUCAAAUAUAACGUGGGGAGCCUGUGCAAAGGAGCAUUGGAGGCUUGAGAAUGUAUAAUGUGUGGUUGCCAUAGCUACAAGAGUGCGAGAAGCCUGGCAAUUGGCCUGGAAUCUCCUUCUAAAGAAACAAAAACAGCUCACAUGGGUCUGUGUGCCUAACAGGCCUAUGCCAGGAGCCCUGGAUGGAGCAGAGAUUGGGAUGGAUGAGAUGGUCUUCAUGGCAACCAGAAGUUCUGACUAGCAUGGUCUGCUACAUUAUCUCUUUCGUGUUCAUAACAAGCCCCAGGAGAAACGAGUGUCUUUAUUAGUCCCUUUCUCGAUGAGGAGAACAGGACUCCAAGAGGGUGAAACUCUCCUUCAAGC
ensembl:lncRNA